UACAGAGGUCUCAAGCGUUGUUCGGAUUCAUUGGGCGUAAAGGGUGCGUAGGUGGCGCGGUAAGUCGGGUGUGAAAUUUCGGAGCUUAACUCCGAAACUGCAUUCGAUACUGCCGUGCUUGAGGACUGGAGAGGAGACUGGAAUUUACGGUGUAGCAGUGAAAUGCAUAGAGAUCGUAAGGAAGACCAGUGGCGAAGGCGGGUCUCUGGACAGUUCCUGACACUGAGGCACGAAGGCCAGGGGAGCAAACGGG
rnacentral:rRNA from 1 species